rnacentral:rRNA from 1 species
UACGAAGGGGGCUAGCGUUGUUCGGAAUCACUGGGCGUAAAGCGCACGUAGGCGGAUCUUUAAGUCAGGGGUGAAAUCCCGAGGCUCAACCUCGGAACUGCCUUUGAUACUGGGGAUCUCGAGUCCGGGAGAGGUGAGUGGAACUGCGAGUGUAGAGGUGAAAUUCGUAGAUAUUCGCAAGAACACCAGUGGCGAAGGCGGCUCACUGGCCCGUAACUGACGCUGAGGCACGAAAGCGUGGGGAGCAAACAGGG